rnacentral:rRNA from 1 species
GACGUAGGGCGCGAGCGUUGUCCGGAUUUAUUGGGCGUAAAGAGCUCGUAGGCGGCUUGUCACGUCGGGUGUGAAAGCCCGGGGCUUAACCCCGGGUCUGCAUUCGAUACGGGCUAGCUAGAGUGUGGUAGGGGAGAUCGGAAUUCCUGGUGUAGCGGUGGAAUGCGCAGAUAUCAGGAGGAACACCGAUGGCGAAGGCAGAUCUCUGGGCCGUAACUGACGCUGAGGAGCGAAAGCAUGGGGAGCGAACAGG